GUAGAUGACGAUAGAUGACAGUAGAUGACUGUAGAUGACACUAGAUGACGGUAGAUGACACUAGAUGACGGUAUAUGACACUAGAUGACAGUAGAUGACACUAGACGACAGUAGAUGACAGUAGAUGAUGGUAGAUGACGGUAGAUGACACUAGAUGACGGUAGAUGACGGUAGAUGACAGUAGACGACACUAGAUGACGGUAGAUGACGAUAGAUGACAGUAGAUGACUGUAGAUGACACUAGAUGACGGUAGAUGACACUAGAUGACGGUAUAUGACACUAGAUGACGGUAGAUGACACUAGAUGACGGUAGAUGACACUAGAUGACGGUAGAUGAC